UAGAAGUUUUUGAUUUCUGCUCAGGACGAACGCUGGCGGCGUGCCUAAUACAUGCAAGUCGAGCGGACAGAUGGGAGCUUGCUCCCUGAUGUUAGCGGCGGACGGGUGAGUAACACGUGGGUAACCUGCCUGUAAGACUGGGAUAACUCCGGGAAACCGGGGCUAAUACCGGAUGCUUGUUUGAACCGCAUGGUUCAAACAUAAAAGGUGGCUUCGGCUACCACUUACAGAUGGACCCGCGGCGCAUUAGCUAGUUGGUGAGGUAACGGCUCACCAAGGCAACGAUGCGUAGCCGACCUGAGAGGGUGAUCGGCCACACUGGGAGUGAGACACGGCCCAGACUCCUACGGGAGGCAGCAGUAGGGAAUCUUCCGCAAUGGACGAAAGUCUGACGGAGCAACGCCGCGUGAGUGAUGAAGGUUUUCGGAUCGUAAAGCUCUGUUGUUAGGGAAGAACAAGUACCGUUCGAAUAGGGCGGUACCUGACGGUACCUACCAGAGACCGAUG
rnacentral:rRNA from 1 species